rnacentral:lncRNA from 1 species
CUAGCUGGAGGGGAGCUGCAUGGUUUCAAACCAACCACCACCGUAAGGCAACGUAAACGUAUCUGGUGGAAUCUCACUCCUACACUCAAUAAGUACACUCCCAAACUCUGUAAGGACACUCCCAAACUCAGUAAGGACAGUCCUACACUCUGUAAGGACACUCCCACACCCAGUAAGGACAGUCCUACACUGUGUAAGGACACUCCCACACUCUGUAAGGACACUCCCACACCCAGUAAGGACAGUCCUACACUGUGUAAGGACACUCCCACACUCUGUAAGGACACUCCCACACUCUGUAAGGACACUCCCAUACUAUGUAAGGACACUCCCAUACUAUGUAAGGACACUCUCACACUAUGUAAGGACACUCUCACACUAUGUAAGGACAGUCCUACACUGUGUAAGGACACUCCCAUACUCUGUAAGGACACUCCCACACUCUGUAAGGACACUCCCAUACUAUGUAAGGACACUCCCACACUCUGUAAGGACACUCCCAUACUAUGUAAGGACACUCUCACACUAUGUAAGGACACUCUCACACUAUGCAAGGACAGUCCUACACUCUGUAAGGACUGUCCUACACUCUGUAAGGACACUCCCAUACUAUGUAAGGACACUCUCACACUAUGUAAGGACACUCUCACACUAUGUAAGGACAGUCCUACACUCUGUAAGGACUGUCCUACACUCUGUAAGGACAGUCCUACACUCUGUAAGUACUGUCCUACACUCUGUAAGGACUGUCCUACACUCUGUAAGGACUGUCCUACACUCUGUAAGGACACUCCCAUACUAUGUAAGGACACUCUCACACUAUGUAAGGACACUCUCACACUAUGUAAGGACACUCUCACACUAUGUAAGGACAGUCCUACACUCUGUAAGGACUGUCCUACACUCUGUAAGGACUGUCCUACACUCUGUAAGGACAGUCCUACACUCUGUAAGGACACUCCCACACAUGGUUUAAAACCCUGCUGCUCCCCUCCAGUCAGUUAG